ACAAUGCUCAACCUUUCGUCGAGUAAUGCGGAGGAGUCAAGCCGAGUUCAAAAUAUUAUCCCGCCCCCAUCAAUGCCACAUUUUGGACCAACGAUGCUCUAUCCUCCGUCGAGUAAUGUGGAGGAGUUGGGACGAGUUCAAAAUAUUAUCCUCCCCCCAUCAAUUCCACAUUUUGGACCAACGAUGCUCAACCCUUCGUCGAGUAAUGCGGAGGAGUCGGGUCGGGUUGAAAAUAUUAUCCUGCCUCCAUCAAUGUCAUACCCUUCGUCGAGUAGUCCGAAGGUGUUGAGAAGAUCUGGAAUGACCACCCAACUAGCAAGUGAAUGAUCAAUUGUGCCAUUUACAUCUGAAAGUGAAAAAAUUUUGGAAAGUACAUCACACAUGACUGAUCAAAGCUGUCAUAUGAGUAACGAGGGAGAGGCCAAGGGGAUUGGGGCCGAGGGGACUAAUGAAAUAUCGAAUGAUGAAGGAGUUGAGGAGCCAAAACCUGGUAUGGAGUUUGCCACUGAUAAAAAGGUUAUGGCCUAUUACAAGCGAUAUGCCAAGCAACAAGGUUUUUGUGUUAUAACACAAAGGACAAAGAGAGAGGCAAAUGGGAGUGCCAAGUAUCUGACAAUU